UACGUAGGUGGCAAGCGUUGUCCGGAUUUACUGGGCGUAAAGAGCGCGCAGGCGGUCGUUCAAGUCGAGUGUGAAAGCCCCCGGCUCAACUGGGGAGGGUCACUCGAUACUGAUCGACUCGAAGGCAGAAGAGGGAAGCGGAAUUCCCGGUGUAGUGGUGAAAUGCGUAGAUAUCGGGAGGAACACCGGUGGCGAAGGCGGCAUCCUGGACCAACACUGACGCUGAUGAGCGAAAGCCAGGGGAGCAAACGGG
rnacentral:rRNA from 1 species